GAGAGCAAAGUCUAGAGCUCUUUGCGAAACAUGCCUCUUGUCUGACAUCCCUAACUGAUCCAAGAUUUAUGUCACACUUGUGGACACUCUCAGGUGAGUCCAAAAAUACGUUAACAUGACCCGUCUUGAGUUGGGCCGUCUAUUCAAAUGCCAACCUCUCUGCUAACUGCCUUUCAGAUUUACCUGUUCAGAUAUCGGUAGAAACUACAGCAGAUAUGCAAGCCAGAAAUAUGAGGCAAGGUCCCUACAACACAGCCGGACUCCCAUUAAGUAGAGGGUCUUCUUUCCAAGAUACAGAGACAGACUCCUCCGGAGCCCCUCUGCUUAAAAUGCAUUGCUGAGAAACGUAGACCUGGCAAAUCCGCAGAAGCAGUGAGGUCUUUAAGUGUGCCUCACGAGAGACCAGUUCAGAAGCGAUGGACGAUGGAGUCAGAUGCAAGCCAUCCCACAACUGUGCCAUCCAAGGAAUCCUUGAUUUCUCUUGCCAUUUUUCCAAGGUUGAUCCUGCUGUAGACUUGCUUUUUUUAAGAUGACUAUUGGUGCUUUUUUGACCAUUUCCUUGGCGAUGUUGAUCUCUUGCUUCAGAAGGGAACAGAAAUGAUGUAGCAGUUACAGCUUUUUGCACAUAUCCUUUCCUUUAACCAUUCUAGCUCUCCCCUUACCCUUGUCAAAUUAAAACCGACCUCUGCAUUUCCCUUUCCAGAAUAAAAAAGAUCUUCUGCCUUUCGGGCUUAUUCAUCCAACAGGCUUAUCUGUUACUGACUUGACAUUCAUUUUCUCAUUUGGAAUUCAGAUUUGAUUGUUCUCAUGCAAUUCCCCAUAGGACUUAAAAAAUGCACUCUUCAUUGUAAAUAGUUCGCCAGGACUCUUGAGGGUGAGACGUUGUUGAUUUAGGAAGAUGACAAUUCCUCCGUUUGAAAUCUUCAAAAACUCUCGCUGUCUUUCCUGUAGUUUAAUUUUAUUCUCUUUUCUUUUUUCCCCUGCCUCGUUUGAACCAUAGGGGUGCCUAAAUUGGAAAUGGAAAGUUUGAUUUGGGGAGGGGGGGAGCUGUUACUGCAUCUUAGGGUAUUUUGAUUUCUACAGUGCUUUGGUGGUGUUUUUUUUUUUUUAAGCAAAUAAAAUUGUACUUAAACAAUGAAUGUUGAAAAGUCACCCCCUUUGUCUCAUACAAAGGGACUAAUUUAAUGGCUAGACGUUGUGAGAGGUUGUAAUUCAAACAAAACUGGAGAAUACACCAGGGCAGAGAAAUAUAAUUUAAAGGAUGGCACCUGAGAAAGGAAUAGAUUGUUCUCCUUUCUUUUCUUUUCUUUUUUUUUUAGUAAAUAAAGAUUUUGCACAGUG